rnacentral:rRNA from 1 species
UACAGAGGUCCCAAGCGUUGUUCGGAUUCACUGGGCGUAAAGGGUGCGUAGGCGGUCGGGUAAGUCUGAUGUGAAAUCUCACAGCUUAACUGUGAAACUGCAUUGGAUACUAUCCGGCUAGAGGAAUGUAGGGGAGACUGGAAUACUUGGUGUAGCAGUGAAAUGCGUAGAUAUCAAGUGGAACACCAGUGGCGAAGGCGAGUCUCUGGACAUUUCCUGACGCUGAGGCACGAAAGCCAGGGGAGCAAACGGG